rnacentral:rRNA from 1 species
UACGAAGGGGGCUAGCGUUGUUCGGAAUCACUGGGCGUAAAGGGCGCGUAGGCGGCCGAUCAAGUCGGGGGUGAAAGCCUGUGGCUCAACCACAGAAUUGCCUUCGAUACUGUUUGGCUUGAGACCGGAAGAGGUUAGUGGAACUGCGAGUGUAGAGGUGAAAUGCGUAGAUAUUCGCAAGAACACCAGUGGCGAAGGCGGCUGACUGGUCCGGUUCUGACGCUGAGGCGCGAAAGCGUGGGGAGCAAACAGG